rnacentral:rRNA from 1 species
UACGGGGGGGGCAAGCGUUGUUCGGAAUUACUGGGCGUAAAGGGCUCGUAGGCGGCCAACUAAGUCAGACGUGAAAUCCCUAGGCUCAACCUAGGAACUGCGUCUGAUACUGGAUGGCUUGAAUUCGGGAGAGGGAUGCAGAAUUCCAGGUGUAGCGGUGAAAUGCGUAGAUAUCUGGAGGAAUACCGGUGGCGAAGGCGGCAUCCUGGACCGACAUUGACGCUGAUGAGCGAAAGCCAGGGGAGCAAACGGG